UGGUUGUGGUGUAGCGUGCCGACUCUACAAUGCUUGCGUAUGUAAAAUGUCGCGACAAUUAUCGAGCUAUUCUACCUGUGCGGCUCAUCAAAUCUUUUGAGCCGGAAGAUGAGCGAGAUUUUUCAAAAACAACUGAAGUUCAAGCACACUGGUGCAGUGAAGAUGGGAACACAGAAGGCUACUACCCGGCCUUUGUUCAUGCCCUCGCAGACACUCUGGAAGCCCUGAAUGCUAAAUUUAAAAAAAAUGAGGGAGCCUUUUCCCCGAUUAAUUAAAAUUCAAGAUCAGCUGGGACCUCGCAAGCAAAGGAAGGCGCCAACACCGAGAGAUGUCAAAAAG